UAUCUAGAUCCAGACCAUGACUGAUGGAUUUCUGUCAAGGAGGAUCCACAUUGGCGAGUGUCCUAAUCUCUCAUGAUCAUUCCAUUACACAAGUAAAGACAUCACAUCAUAGUGGCGAAAGACAUCAUCCUCACCAAACUGGCAUAAGAUAAAUGCAGAUUGGAGACCGAGUCGCCAAGUCAUCAGUAUUUUCACAAAACCAGCAAAAUUUCAGUCCCUGAAAAUGUCCAAACAAUACGAUCAACUUUGCUGGGACCUCAUGGCAUCAUUCAUAAUUCCACCAUGGUGCCAAACUCAGCCGCUAGCUUCCUUCUUGGCCACGUCUGGAUGUUGACUGGAUGGUAUAUUCAUUGGGUCCCCUUGAUCCAAACAUUUUGUCUACAUCCUUCAUAUAUUGCAACAUCAGUGUCCUGCUACUGACAUCUGAAAGCUGGAUCAAUGCAAAGACUGGAGGGAAACGGUGACAUUGUUUUUUUGAUACUACAGGCACCAAGCAGUGAGGGUCGCUUCGAAAACAAUAUGUCUGUCUCGAAAAUUUGGGACGCCAUACUCCUCCCUGAUUGGUCGAGAUUAAUGAAUGAAUGUUGGAAGAAAGUUGGGACGGGUCGACCAAUCAGGGGCCUGUUUGAAGAAAGAUGGGAGGCUGAAGACAAAUGAAAAGGUUGGAUAUUCCCAAGUUUGCUCACUCAACAGGAGAACAUUGGCAGGGCCCCUGGCCCCUUGACCCACCUCAUAGUUCGCUGUUGGGUGUCCCAACUUUGUGUGACGUCACACCCUGCAGUUUUUAAUUUAUUUUUAUUUUUGCAUUUUGAAAGGAAGUUCUCAAUGUAAUUUUUA